AUUGAACGCUGGCGGAAUGCUUUACACAUGCAAGUCGAACGGCAGCACGGGGCAACCUGGUGGCGAGUGGCGAACGGGUGAGUAAUACAUCGGAACGUGCCCAAUCGUGGGGGAUAACGUAGCGAAAGUUACGCUAAUACCGCAUACGAUCUACGGAUGAAAGCGGGGGAUCGCAAGACCUCGCGCGAAUGGAGCGGCCGAGGUCAGAUUAGGUAGUUGGUGGGGUAAAGGCUCACCAAGCCAACGAUGUGUAGCUGGUCUGAGAGGACGACCGGCCACACGGGGACGGAGACACGGCCCGGACUCCUACGGGAGGCAGCAGUGGGGAAUUUUGGACAAUGGGCGCAAGCCUGAUCCAGCCAUUCCGCGUGCAGGAUGAAGGCCUUCGGGUUGUAAACUGCUUUUGUACGGAACGAAACGGCUCUCUCUAAUACAGGGGGCUAAUGACGGUACCGUAAGAAUAAGCACCGGCUAACUACGUGCCAGCCGCCGCAGUAAUAC
rnacentral:rRNA from 1 species